UACAGAGGUCUCAAGCGUUGUUCGGAUUCAUUGGGCGUAAAGGGCGCGUAGGCGGUCACGCGCGUCCGUUGUGAAAUCGCUCGGCUCAACUGGGCGAGGUCAGCGGAUACGGCGUGGCUGGAGCAAGCUAGGGGGCAAUGGAAUUCCCGGUGUAGUGGUGGAAUGCGUAGAUAUCGGGAGGAACACCAGUGGCGAAGGCGGUUGCCUGGAGCUUUGCUGACGCUGAUGCGCGAAAGCGUGGGGAGCGAUCCGG
rnacentral:rRNA from 1 species